UACACAUUAAGUAUUAAUGUACACUUGACUUCCAAUCAAGAAGGCCAUAACUGGAAUGUGUAA
rnacentral:tRNA from 1 species